AAGUCGUAACAAGGUUUCCGUAGGUGAACCUGCGGAAGGAUCAUUAGUAGUUGCGAGAGUCGUAUGGCUCGAGCAGUGAGAGGGUGUGGUUUUGAUGGAGGGUGGCAUGUUGUUUAAACAACUUCGUGCCACACUUUUUCAUACAACAAUACGAUUUUGAACAAGGUAUGAGCAAGUGAUUACGACACACAACUGUCACCGGUGGAUCUCUUGGCUCGU
rnacentral:misc_RNA from 1 species